AUUGAACGCUGGCGGCAUGCCUUACACAUGCAAGUCGAACGGUAACAGGUUAAGCUGACGAGUGGCGAACGGGUGAGUAAUGUAUCGGAACGUGCCCAGUCGUGGGGGAUAACUGCUCGAAAGAGCAGCUAAUACCGCAUACGACCUGAGGGUGAAAGCGGGGGAUCGCAAGACCUCGCGCGAUUGGAGCGGCCGAUAUCAGAUUAGGUAGUUGGUGAGGUAAAGGCUCACCAAGCCGACGAUCUGUAGCUGGUCUGAGAGGACGACCAGCCACACUGGGACUGAGACACGGCCCAGACUCCUACGGGAGGCAGCAGUGGGGAAUUUUGGACAAUGGGCGCAAGCCUGAUCCAGCCAUGCCGCGUGCGGGAAGAAGGCCUUCGGGUUGUAAACCGCUUUUGUCAGGGAAGAAAAGGUUCUGGCUAAUACCUGGGACUCAUGACGGGACCUGAAGAAUAAGCACCGGCUAACUACG
rnacentral:rRNA from 1 species